rnacentral:rRNA from 1 species
UACGUAGGGCGCAAGCGUUGUCCGGAAUUAUUGGGCGUAAAGAGCUCGUAGGCGGCUUGUCACGUCGGGUGUGAAAGUCCGGGGCUCAACUCCGGAUCUGCGGUGGGUACGGGCAGACUAGAGUGAUGUAGGGGAGACUGGAAUUCCUGGUGUAGCGGUGAAAUGCGCAGAUAUCAGGAGGAACACCGGUGGCGAAGGCGGGUCUCUGGGCCGAUACUGACGCUGAGGAGCGAAAGCGUGGGGAGCGAACAGG